GCCAUGCAUGUCUCAGUACUAACCGCUUUAAGGCGAAACCGCGAAUGGCUCAUUAAAUCAGUUAUGGUUCCUUGGAUCUUACCCACACUUACAUGGAUAACUGUGGUAAUUCUAGAGCUAAUACAUGAACCUCGUGCCCCGACCAGUGAUGGAAGGGGUGCUUUUAUUAGAACAAAACCAAUCGGUCGGUCUUCCGUCCGUUGCCUUGGUGACUCUGAAUAACUUUUGGCUGAUCGCACGGUCCUAGCACCGGCGACGCAUCUUUCAAAUGUCUGCCUUAUCAACUUUCGAUGGUAGGUUCUGCGCCUACCAUGGUUGUAACGGGUGACGGGGAAUCAGGGUUCGAUCCCGGAGAGGGAGCCUGAGAAACGGCUACCACAUCCAAGGAAGGCAGCAGGCGCGCAAAUUACCCACUCCCGGAACGGGGAGGUAGUGACGAAAAAUAACGAUACGGGACUCAUCCGAGGCCCCGUAAUCGGAAUGAGAACACUUUAAAUCCUUUAACGAGGAUCUAUUGGAGGGCAAGUCUGGUGCCAGCAGCCGCGGUAAUUCCAGCUCCAAUAGCGUAUAUUAAAGUUGUUGCGGUUAAAAAGCUCGUAGUCGGAGGUGUGUCUCGGACGGUCGGUUCGCCGCUUGUCGGUGCUCAACUGGCCGGUCCGGACGUCCUGCCGGUGGGGCCGCGAGGCUCCGUUAUCCUUCUUUGGUCCUCUUCACCGAGUGCCUUGGUGGGCCGGCACGUUUACUUUGAACAAUUAAGUGCUCAAGCAGGCCGUUGGUCGCCUGAAUACUGUGUGCAUGGAAUAAUGGAAUAGGACCUCGGUUCCAUUUUGUUGGUUUUCAGAACUCGAGGUAAUGAUUAAUAGGGACGGACGGGGGCAUUCGUAUGCGACGUUAGAGGUGAA
rnacentral:rRNA from 1 species